rnacentral:rRNA from 1 species
UGGGGAAUUUUGGACAAUGGGCGCAAGCCUGAUCCAGCCAUACCGCGUGAGUGAAGAAGGCCUUCGGGUUGUAAAGCUCUUUCAGACGGAAAGAAACGGUUACGGCUAAUACCCGUGACUAAUGACGGUACCGUAAGAAGAAGCACCGGCUAACUACGUGCCAGCAGCCGCGGUAAUACGUAGGGUGCGAGCGUUAAUCGGAAUUACUGGGCGUAAAGCGUGCGCAGGCGGUUUGGUAAGACAGAUGUGAAAUCCCCGGGCUUAACCUGGGAACUGCAUUUGUGACUGCCAGACUAGAGUGUAGCAGAGGGGGGUAGAAUUCCACGUGUAGCAGUGAAAUGCGUAGAUAUGUGGAGGAAUACCGAUGGCGAAGGCAGCCCCCUGGGCUAACACUGACGCUCAUGCACGAAAGCGUGGGGAGCAAACAGGAUUAGAUACCCAGGUAGUCCCUGAGCGGGCUGGCAAGGCGCAU